rnacentral:rRNA from 1 species
GACGAACGCUGGCGGCGUGCUUAACACAUGCAAGUCGAACGGAAAGGCCCUGCUUUUGUGGGGUUCUCGAGUGGCGAACGGGUGAGUAACACGUGAGUAACCUGCCCUUGACUUUGGGAUAACUUCAGGAAACUGGGGCUAAUACCGGAUAGGAGCUCCUGCUGCAUGGUGGGGGUUGGAAAGUUUCGGCGGUUGGGGAUGGACUCGCGGCUUAUCAGCUUGUUGGUGGGGUAGUGGCUUACCAAGGCUUUGACGGGUAGCCGGCCUGAGAGGGUGACCGGCCACAUUGGGACUGAGAUACGGCCCAGACUCCUACGGGAGGCAACAGGGGGGAAUAUUGCACAAUGGGCGGAAGCCUGAUGCAGCAACGCCGCGUGCGGGAUGACGGCCUUCGGGUUGUAAACCGCUUUCGCCUGUGACGAAGCGUGAGUGACGGUAAUGGGUAAAGAAGCACCGGCUAACUACGUG